AAGCGUGAAUUAAUAGAGAAAAUAAACCAACAGCAAUCAAACUUUCUUCAUGUGGAUUUCAGGCAAAAUUUAAAAAUACGGUUUUAAAGUUCAAGACGUUUGAGAGAAUGAAGUCGAUCGUUAACUCGUCCGUAAACAUUUAUUCAAAUAAUCGGAUCAUUUUUCAUUAUGAAAAAACAAAAACCAACAUUCUGAUAUUUUUCUUGAGGUUCAUGUUUUUUACACGUUAUAAGUUGAAAGGAGUUUGUAA